AAAUAUUAAGAAGAAAUAGCCAAAUCAUUGCUUUUUCCAUUUUCCAAUUUGAAAAAGAUUUUUGGAGUAAAUCUUGUUUGUGGCUAUUAAAUGAAUUACUGCAAAAGCAGUUUCUGAUUCUGAUAGAGCUGAAAGUUUCUUAUGUAAAGUUACACAGCCUUCUAAUAGUAACCCUUCAACUCCAAGCUUUGCAUGUAAGCUUUAAAAAUUUGGAUUGACAGCCCAUUUUAAAUGCAACCUAUGCACUGCUUAUUUAUUAUAGUGUCAUAAACACUCAUUACAUUUUAAAGCUAUAAUCCCAAGUUAUUUAUAGCGGGAUUAUCACCUUUUUCUAUAAAAGCUCUUCCUCUUUCAAAAGCAAAUGUUGGCAAGAGUAAGAGACCAUUGUUCAAAGAAUCAAAUCACUCAAAACUCUCUCUUCGACCCCCUUCAUUUCUUUUCUUCUAUAUUCUUCAAGAAAAACUUUUAAGAGAAAAGAAAUCUUGUAACAACUCUUUUGAAGAACAAUUCUGAACUUACCUUCUGUUUUUAAAUCUAUUUUCUGUUCUUCAUGUGCAUAUGUUGCAUUUCUAUCUGUAUAUAUAUAUAUAUUGUUGUUAUCUAUUGUGGACUAAAGGUUUUUAAAUGAGAAACAUUUGUAUAAUAACUUAGGUGAGAAGCUAUGUUGUAAAAGGUUAUCAAGUGACUUUCUCCUUGUGUGAGAUUCUAAUGUCUUGAUCUGAGUUUUCUGUUCUCUGCAAAACAGAAAGGUAGAGGUCGACUAGAAUCUUUGGAAUCUAGUGGAUUAAAUGUUAGAUCUAGAUUUUGAUAUAUUUCUUUAUAAUUGUUGGUUUGUCUUUUAUCCUUUAAAAGAGAUAACAUAGUAGAAAAUCUCGAGAUGAGUCUUGAGAAAUGGAUGUAGGCGAGUUAGUGUCAGACCACUAUAAAUCUUUGUGUUAUUCUUCUUUUAUUUUCUGAAGUGUUGCUUGAUUAUAUUCUGAUUACACAUUUGUUAAUGUUUUUAGAAAUGCAAAGUUGUUAAUGACUUUCUGUUUGUAAUUGUGAAAAAGCUUUAUCUUUGUGGAUCAUUAGAACUCUGGAUUUCUAUAUUGUGAUUUCUCCAAGUUCUAAUAUGUCCUUUUAUAUUUUGUAGAAAUCAGAAUCUAAGUUAUAAUCAGUUUUCUAAUUUUUCAUAACCUUUGUGAGGAAGUUCUAAACUUGAUAACUGACUCUCACAAACGCUUUCUAAAUUUCGCAUUAUAGAAUUCUAGUCUUGUGUUUUUAAAAGCUAAAUUUUUAAAAAACUCAAUUCACCCCCUCUUGGGUUAUGUCAUAUAAAAUGGAAAUAUUUCCCAUGGUGCUCAGGAGGGGCCUCACAGGUUGGUUAGCAGAGACAUGCAAGGGCAUUGCAUGCGACAGUGGUCCAAUGUUUCUAGCCUGUUUUUUGCUGAAUCGUUUGGCAUAAGAGAUACUUUGAGCUGGGUAAAAACUCACUUCAGUAAUGAGGCCUCAUGGCUAUUACCGCUGUUAAUAGGAAUGAGGCUAAUUUAUCUUAUGCUGGUAGUUUGAUUGCAGGUUGUAGAGUACUUGCCACAAGUAUUGCUAAUCUUGUCAUAUGCUUUAUAAAGAAAUCAGUGAAUUAGGUUGCUUAUAGGCUAGCUAAAGCAUCUGUUUCUAUGACUAGCUCCUUGGAGUAGGGUGUUGUCCCUCCAGGCAUAAUUGAUGAUGUUUUACUCUUUGAUAUGAAUAAUAUAUAAGCAUUUGAUUUUUUUUUUUUUUUUAAAUGUACUAAAUCAAAGUUACUAAUUUUAAAAGGAUAC
rnacentral:lncRNA from 1 species